rnacentral:miRNA from 1 species
AGUUGAUUUGGAGUCGUACU